rnacentral:rRNA from 1 species
UACAGAGGUCCCGAGCGUUGUUCGGAUUCACUGGGCGUAAAGGGUGCGUAGGUGGUGAGGUAAGUCGGAUGUGAAAGCUCCAGCUCAACUUGGGAAAUGGCAUUGGAAACUACCUUGCUAGAGGGUUUGAGGGGGGACUGGAAUACUUGGUGUAGCAGUGAAAUGCGUAGAUAUCAAGUGGAACACCAGUGGCGAAGGCGAGUCCCUGGAAAACUCCUGACACUGAGGCACGAAAGCUAGGGGAGCAAACGGG